rnacentral:rRNA from 1 species
CGGCAUGCCUAAGACAUGCAAGUCGAACGAAGUGGCCCAGCAAAAACUGUGUACUGUACAAGUUGGCGAUGGAAUUCCACUUAGUGGCAGACGGGUGAGUAACACGUAAGUAAUCUGCCCUCGAGACUGGAAUAAUGUCUGGAAACGGACACUAAUACCGGAUAAUUCAUAUUUAGAUAACUAUUUAUGCUAAAAGGAGCGUUUGCUCCACUUGAGGAUGAGCUUGCGGCGUAUUAACUAGUUGGUGAGGUAAUGGCUCACCAAGGUGACGAUGCGUAGCCGAACUGAGAGGUUGAUCGGCCACAUUGGGACUGAGACACGGCCCAAACUCCUACGGGAGGCAGCAGUUAGGAAUAUUCGUCAAUGGGGGAAACCCUGAACGAGCAAUGCCGCGUGAGUGAUGACGGUCUUUAUGAUUGUAAAACUCUGUUGUAAGGAACGAACCCUUGAAAUAGGAAAUGAUUUCAAGCUGACUGUACCUUACCAGAAAGCCCCGGCUAACUACGUGCCAGCCGCCGC